UGUUGGUGAGGUAACGGCUCACCAAGGCUACGAUGGAUAGGGGAACUGAGAGGUUUAUCCCCCACACUGGAACUGAGACACGGUCCAGACUCCUACGGGAGGCAGCAGUGAGGAAUAUUGGUCAAUGGAGGCAACUCUGAGCCAGCCAAGUCGCGUGAAGGAUGACGGUCUUAUGGAUUGUAAACUUCUUUUGUACAGGAAUAAAGUUAGCCACGUGUGGUUUUUUGCAUGUAAUGUACGAAUAAGGAUCGGCUAACUCCGUGCCAGCAGCCGCGGUAAUACGGAGGAUCCGAGCGUUAUCCGGAUUUAUUGGGUUUAAAGGGUGCGCAGGCGGGAUGUUAAGUCGGCGGUGAAAUUUUGCGGCUCAACCGUAAAAGUGCCUUCGAAACUGGCAUUCUUGAGUAUGGAUGAAGUAGGCGGAAUUUGUGGUGUAGCGGUGAAAUGCUUAGAUAUCACGAGGAACUCCGAUUGCGCAGGCAGCUUACUAAACCAUAACUGACGCUCAUGCACGAAGGCGUGGGGAUCAAACAGGAUUAGAUACCCUGGUAGUCCACGCAGUAAACGAUGAUUACUAGUUGUUUGCGAUACACAGUA
rnacentral:rRNA from 1 species